rnacentral:rRNA from 1 species
GAUGAACGCUGGCGGCGUGCCUAAUACAUGCAAGUCGAGCGAACGGACGAGAAGCUUGCUUCUCUGAUGUUAGCGGCGGACGGGUGAGUAACACGUGGAUAACCUACCUAUAAGACUGGGAUAAAUUCGGGAAACCGUAGCUAAUACCGGAUAAUAUUUUGAACCGCAUGGUUCAAAAGUGAAAGACGGUCUUGCUGUCACUUAUAGAUGGAUCCGCGCUGCAUUAGCUAGUUGGUAAGGUAACGGCUUACCAAGGCAACGAUGCAUAGCCGACCUGAGAGGGUGAUCGGCCACACUGGAACUGAGACACGGUCCAGACUCCUACGGGAGGCAGCAGUAGGGAAUCUUCCGCAAAGGGCGAAAGCCUGACGGAGCAACGCCGCGUGAGUGAUGAAGGUCUUCGGAUCGUAAAACUCUGUUAUUAGGGAAGAACAUAUGUGUAAGUAACUGUGCACAUCUUGACGGUACCUAAUCAGAAAGCCACGGCUAACUACGUG